AGGAGCCUAGCAUAACUGUCUUCUGAGAGACUCCACCCAGCAGGUGACUCAGAGAGAUGCCGAGAUCCACGGCCAAACAGUGAAUGGACUUGGGGAGUCUUCUAGAAUGAAGGCAUCUAAGAAUGACUGAUACAGGCUGUUUCGUUCUAAGCAGCCUUCAUGCACAGAGAAACACAAGGGAAAAGAAGGAGCACAGACAACCAUUGCCCCUGACCUCACUUGUCCUUUUCCUCGUUUCUAUGUGGAAGGCUGUGGGAGGCAGAGGUAAGCUCAG
rnacentral:sRNA from 1 species